rnacentral:rRNA from 1 species
AAUGAACGCUGGCGGCGCGCCUAAUACAUGCAAGUCGAGCGAGAAGACGUAGCAAUACGUUUGUAAAGCGGCGAACGGGUGAGGAAUACAUGGGUAACCUACCCUCGAGUGGGGAAUAACUAGCCGAAAGGUUAGCUAAUACCGCGUACGCUCCUUGGACUUCGGCUCAGGGAGGAAAGCGAUACCGUGGGUAUCGCGCUCUUGGUUGGGCUCAUGUCCUAUCAGCUUGUUGGGAGGUACGGCUCACCAAGGCUUCGACGGGUAGCUGGUCUGAGAGGACGAUCAGCCACACUGGCACUGCGAC